AUUGAACGCUGGCGGCAUGCUUUACACAUGCAAGUCGAACGGUAACAGGGAGCUUGCUCCGCUGACGAGUGGCGAACGGGUGAGUAAUGCAUCGGAACGUACCCAGUCGUGGGGGAUAACGUAGCGAAAGUUACGCUAAUACCGCAUACGUCCUGAGGGAGAAAGCGGGGGACCGUAAGGCCUCGCGCGAUUGGAGCGGCCGAUGUCGGAUUAGCUAGUUGGUAGGGUAAAGGCCUACCAAGGCGACGAUCCGUAGCGGGUCUGAGAGGAUGAUCCGCCACACUGGGACUGAGACACGGCCCAGACUCCUACGGGAGGCAGCAGUGGGGAAUUUUGGACAAUGGGCGAAAGCCUGAUCCAGCCAUGCCGCGUGAGUGAAGAAGGCCUUCGGGUUGGUUAAAGCGUCUUUCUAGACGGGAAAGGAAAAUACGCAUCUUCUAAUACAGGGUGUGGAUGACGGUACCGUAAGAAGAAG
rnacentral:rRNA from 1 species